CUCCUGCCUCAGCCUCAUGAGUCACUGGGAUUACAAGCAUGAGCCACUGCACCCCACAUUAAAGGAAAUCGGAGGCAUACUCUACUGAAGAGGUUUGGGAAGUUCCACCAAAGUGAAGGCCAAGGCAUGUUCACUGUUCAAACAGGACAGAGGAAAGAAACCAAAGAACAGGAGCCCUGUGCACAGCCUGAAAGAUCAGCCUUCUGUCCCUACCCGGCCCCAAACAGCAGCUGCUGCAAACUCACAGCUGCUGGCUCCUCAAACUCUGCAGCUCCUUGGUUCUGGGUCCCUGGAUCAGUUGCCAGGAUACUGGAUGACCCAGAUUCCCUCUGGAGAAGGGCUUGCUGCCUCGGUGUGAGGAGAGCAUCAGCAGACAGCAGAUGGCUUUGGGCUCCACAUCCAGGAACCUCGCUGGUGGGGUAGGAGCAGCUAGAGCAGUCCCAGUCAGCCUCAGGUCCCUAGCGUGGGCAGUUUUCUCGUCACAAUCCCACGCCUGGUUGGCCAAGGCUUUGACAGGAUUGCACUGCAGUUCAAUUUCUUUCUCUACCAAUCCUGCUUCACCUGCUUCUUUUCAUAGACGUUAAUCCUGACUAACCAUCUUUUACCCCAAGUUGUCUCAGUAUCUUCUUCCCAAAAGCCCAACCAGCAGUACCUUCCCAUCCCAUGCCUGUUUCUGCACCACUCCGGGUAAAUGCCUCUUCUAGUUACUUAAUCUAAUGGCUCACAUGCUUUGCUUUUCAUACUCUAGCUUGCCAUCCCCUGCACAGUAAUUAUCUAUGCCACAGUCUGUAUCCCCCACUAGACCCUGAGCUCUGUGUUGCUGCUUUAUCUUGCUCAUCUGGGUAUACUUGAGGCACAGCACAAUUGUUGGCACACAAUUGAUAUUGAAUGAACUAAUAGAAAUCCUAGUGAUCAGGGUAUUGGAAAUCAAUAUCAGAAUCCCACUGUUUACGUUAUUCAUAAAGAAUGAGUGCCCCUGUUUUGAGAUUUCCUAAGAUUUGGCCUGAGAAGUCAUGGUUCAUUUAAUGAAAGCAGCAACAUUUCAGAGUAUAAAAGCCUUUAGAGAGAAAGAACCAUGGAAAAAAAAAAUCUUCAAGAGGAACAAGCUACAAAGAGGAAGAAAAUGGGGACCAUGUAGCCAUUCUUUGGAUCUAUAAAUAAAUAAAUCUGUUACCUGGUCAAGAUCUUUGGGGAUAUCUUUCUACAGAUAUGUAUAGAAAUGUAUGUUAUCUGAAGAAAUUUGCAAUCUUGGGGAACAACUGUCUCCAAACGAUAAGAAAGCUGAAACUGGAGAGAUUUAUUAAACAUCCUGAAGCUUUCAGGAUCCUCAAAAAUGGAGUUUAAGUCCAGAUCUGCUUCUGUGAACACAAAGAAGGACUGCGACCUGAUUCAAGCUGAGAAGUUCUGUAUGGAGGAGAUGAAGAAUGGCCCGGCUUGAAUAGCCAAGCAGAGAUGUCUUUCUCACAAUGGGUGUCAUCAGGAGCCUUGGCAUCUUGGCUCCCUAUUCACUCUUCUGAAUCUACCCAUAAAAGCUUUUAUAAAGCCGACAAAGCCCUUUUGG